GAAUUAGUUUAAGUUAAAAAUUAAAUGUUUGGGUCGUUUAGAUUAGUUUUCAGUU
rnacentral:tRNA from 1 species